GGCCGCACCAAAAUGGGCCGCCCCAGAAAUCGCAGUCACUCUCGCCCCAGGAUCAAUCCCUACCUCGCUCGCCUUCCCCACCCACGAGAAUGCAGACGCCGCCCCUCCCAUCUGCACGCCGGCGGCGGCUUCGGCUACCUCAUCCAACGCGCCGCAUACACCAUCACUCUCCGCGCCGUCUACCGUAGUCCCCGCCAUGGUAUCUCCAUCGCGCCUGCCAUGGCCCGGGCCAUGUUGAGCUCCGCGGCGGCGCGGCGCCACGCUCAACUGACGAUUCAGCCUGCACAUACGACCAGGGUGGCCUCAACCCUCGCCCGCACCAGCCCACGCGCGCGCCCGCUAGCCCUUCCCCUCGCCCGCACUUCAACAACGCCGUACUCAUCCAAGCCGGGAACCAGGGAUCCACUUCCCAUGCCGGAUCACCUCUUCAUCGGGAGUCCUAGACUAGGCUAGACUAGGCAGGAAGGAGACACGGCGAAGGAUUCAGUCCAUCUCGAGGUUGCCCUUGCGGUUCUCCCUCCCCUCUCCCAUACGGUCGUUCGUUCUCACGGCGGCCGCACUGGGGACGACAACGCGGGGCGAUUGAAGGUGGUGGUGGCAUACAUCAAGUCUGAUGCUACAGACAAGGAGCUUGUAACCAUCUGGGCUGUCAAACUCAAGCUGGUCCUUUCUCCCGUGAUGUCUGCCCCUAGCUUCGCUGUUUGGAUGCUCAUGCUAGAUAGAGCAGCGACUGGAAAUGGGGCAUCGUGAGCACUGUCUCCCUGGAGGACAAAAAAAGCAAGAGAACGGCUACCGCACGAGACAACCAUGAUGCUACGGAGCAGAGGACAACAACAAUAGAUAUGCUACUAUACUAGCACCGGUUCUCUGUUCCUUUGAUUAAAAUGCUGAGGUCCGUGAUUUCUUGCCUAAUUACCUGUUUUUGACCCAACUGACAUAUUGCCAAUUUUGCUCUGUGUUUUCAGUUGUUUUACUGGUUGUACAUCCAUCUAUUGGGGGAUUAUACAUAGUUUCAUACGUUUGUGGUUCUGACAUCCUUGGUAAAAUGCCAGAACUAUUUGGAAUAGGAAACUCUCUUAUUCAGCGCAAUAAUGCUUUUAAAAUGAUCCAUUUGCAAAAUCAAACCAUGUCACCGACGCCAUAUAUGUCACGUGCCGACCAAGGAGGUGAUGCACGGCGGGGGAGUGAAUUAUGCCUGACGCGGCGAUGGAAGAGGAGGCGCAAGACACGCAACAUGGCGGCACAGCCAACCAUGCGUGACAGCAGCCGCGUAUGAAAUUGACAUACAGAGAAGAAGCUACUGGAGUUCACGGAAGUGCAUGGCAAAGAGGAGGGAUCCAACGAGAAAGAUGAAGAUCCCAAAAUUCGGUUUCAUGGGGUCAUGUUGAAUAUUGAGGAAUAAUAUAUCGGAGAUAUUUUGACUGUACUGAAGAUGUAUAUUUGGCUCAGUAUCAUGAUACUUGUUCUAAGUUGCUUUGUUAUUUCAAAAUAACUCACAAAUCGACUUUUGGUACUGUACAUCUUUCCACAUGAA